rnacentral:rRNA from 1 species
UACAGAGGGUGCGAGCGUUGUUCGGAAUUACUGGGCGUAAAGCGUGCGCAGGCGGCCCUUUAAGUCCGUCGGUCAAAUGCCGGGGCUCAACCCCGAGCGUGCCGAGGAUACUGGAGGGCUGGAGACACGUAGAGGCAAGCGGAAUUCCGGGUGUAGCGGUGGAAUGCGUAGAGAUCCGGAAGAACACCGGAGGCGAAGGCGGCUUGCUGGGCGUGAUCUGACGCUGAGGCGCGAAAGCGUGGGGAGCGAACAGG